rnacentral:RNase_P_RNA from 19 species
GCUGUCGGUUAGUUGCUGCUUUAAAGAUAUAUUUAAAGUAGAGGAAAGUCCAUGCUUGCACUUGCUGGAAUGCAAGUAGUGUUUGUGUAAAUCAAAGCGAUAAGAUUUAGGAUGUGAUAGCCAUAACGACAUAACUAGUCUAAGGUUAAUACUAUGAUGAUGUUUUGAAAGUGCCACAGAGACGAGCUUGGUGAAAACCAGGUAUGAAACGCGGUAAACUCCACAAGCAAGAAACCUAAAUUUUGGUAAGGGAAUGUUGCUUUAAGAACAAAUAAUUAAAGUAAUGACAGCAAUUGCUGUAGAUAAAUAACUGACUUUAAAACAGAACAUGGCUUAUUGAC